rnacentral:rRNA from 1 species
CUAACGAGGAUUUCCCGAGUAACGGCGAGUGAAAAGGAAAAAGCCCAACGCUGAAUCCAAUAGAUAACGAUGUACACUAUAUGGAAAUGUAGCGUAUAGGUAUAAUUAAUCGUGACGUGCUUUCACACCCAAAGUCCCCUUGAGCGGGGCUACAGUCCAUAGAAGGUGCUAGACCUGUACGGGUGGAGGAGAGUUACGAAGGAUUAUACUUUGGAGUCGGGUUGUUUGAGAUUGCAGCCCAAAGAGGGUGGUAAACCUCAUCUAAGGCUAAAUACGACCACGAGACCGAUAGCAAACAAGUACCGUGAGGGAAAGUUGCAAAGAACUUUGAAGAGAGAGUUCAAGAGGGCGUGAAACCGCUGAGAUGGAAACGGAUAGAGUUAACGAAACUUAUCGGUAUUCAACCAUUCAAUUUAGCAACUCUUGCACACAGCACACAUGUAUAUAUGCAUGUAUGCUUGUUUGUAGGAUUUUAAAGUGCUAGAUUUAGAUUGGUGUAUUUACCGGUAGUAUGCAUCGAGAGCUUCGUUUAUAGCAUAUUUAAGAGUUAUUUAGUGGACUAGUUAUUGAAAAUGUAAUAAUUAGAAUCCUAAAUAGCACCUGAAAUAUGUCUUAGAUGAAGUGUGUUCUCUCGCGCGCUCGCUAAUGCACUUGUAUUCUCUACUAAUUAUGUAUUUGCAUGUGGUCGCAUGUGCGACUUGAUCAGUUAAUAAUAGUUAGUAGAGUUUGCAUAGAGUGUGUUAUGCGUGUAACAAUACAGUUACACAAUACAUCUCGGUGUGAACGUUAAUCACCUAUCUGACCCGUCUUGAAACACGGACCAAGGAGU